UACGGGGGGGGCAAGCGUUGUUCGGAAUUACUGGGCGUAAAGGGCUCGUAGGCGGCCAACUAAGUCGGACGUGAAAUCCCCAGGCUCAACCUGGGAACUGCAUCCGAUACUGGAUGGCUUGAAUUCGGGAGAGGGAUGCAGAAUUCCAGGUGUAGCGGUGAAAUGCGUAGAUAUCAGGAGGAACACCAGCGGCGAAGGCGGCGCUCUGGGCCGGUACUGACACUGAGGAGCGAAAGCGUGGGUAGCAAACAGG
rnacentral:rRNA from 1 species